CUUGUGUCAAGUUGACAUGCAAAACCUUUCUCUGUGGUAACUCCAGCUUGUGUCAAGUUGUCAUGCAAAACCAGCCAGUACAGUUGCUUUUAAUCAAUUAAUUUUGGCUAAUUUUCAAAUAACUCCUACAACUUUUAAUGAAAUAGAAUUGAUACACAACAGAAUCUAAUUGUACUUCUAUACCAAUAUGGCAAUCAUAUCUGUCACCGACUGCCUUGACAGGAACAGUCCCAUCACCCCAGAAAGUUCCGAGAGAAUUCUUUCGUGAGUAGCUACACCCCGACCUGUGACACAAAGGCAACCACUUUAAGCAUGUGCGUCCUCCUCAUCUCCGGACAGAAAAUGGAGCCGAAACAUUGCUUCUUAAAGCUGAUAGGCUAGCAUGAGACACCGCAAGUGCGGUGUGUGCGUUCCCCCUGCCUGACGUGGGACAGGGAAGAAGGAAGGAGAUUCUGACCCGGGGUUCACUUGGCAACUCAAGGCGGUUAUAAUUAGCCCAAGCAUGGACAUUUUGUAGAUCGUUGAUUUGUCCUCUUCCAAUGAGUUUUCUUUACAUGAGAAACGGGAACUUCUAGUCACAACGCGCAAUGGUUAACUGCCAGUGUUAACUUGCUGGAAUUUAGAAUUGCCUAGGAGAUGCACGCCCCUGGGCAUGCGCAAGAGGUUUAACUGUAGAACGGAGACCCCACCCCGGAUGUGGGUAGCAGCAGCCCUGUGCUGGGGUCCUCGACUGACAACACCUAUCACAGCACCUGCUUUCACCUCUGCUUCUAGAAUGUGGACAUCUGCGACCACUGGCCUCACACUCCUGCUACCGUGAUGAACUGUACUCUCAUACCGUGAGCCAAGCGGAGCCCCCCCCCCCCAGCCUUGAUUGUUUCUCUCAGCAACAGCCUCUACCACAAGCUCCCUGCUCUGAGCUGCUCUGCCCUUAGCUACUCUGCCAAAAUGAACCUUCCCUCCCCGGACUUGUUUCUGUUGGGCAUUAUUGUCACCGUGAUGCAAAGAGAACCACUGCACCCUCCAAAGAAGGACGACAGAGGCACUUUGAGGUCUCCGUACUCUGCAAAUGAGGGCGGCCAGCGGGAAGCACAGGUUGAUUAUGAGCCUAAACAGCACAACUCCACAAUACAACAGCAAGACCGACAGCCAGCCUAGCAGUCCCUGGUUAGCCUUAACCAGCACAAUCUCGUCUUAGUCCUUUUUCUCUAACUACAGUCCACUCUCUCUGACAGCAGACAGCCGACGAAAUCAGAGCUCUGUUUGGGGGCGCGUCUCUACGUAUUUGGGGGCCAGUUCUUUAAUGAGGUUCACGUAGUCAUGCUUCUCCGCGCAGGCCCUGCACUCUUCCCCCCAGCUGUGAAGGAUCUGCUUCAGCUCUGCAACCCUCAUUUUCCACAGGUCCACAGAUUCCAAGUCCAAUUUCUUCUCUAAAUGCCAGAAAAAAAGAACACACGACUGAACGACAGAACAAAAACCUCAUAAAACUCUUCAAAGGGCUGACUCCUUUCCCCUUCAGUGUGAGACGAUGACCCUUCCCAUGGGGACCAGGGCAUACCCAAUGAAAAUGCGGUAUCACCAGUCAGCCUGUGCCCUUGGGGUCUAUGUCCUUGAAUGCCACCAACCAUAGACCAAGGAUAUUCAGGGAUGGAAAUACUCAAUCUGUGCUAAUCAUAUACAAAGGUGACUUUUGUUUGGUUGGUUGGGAUUUUUUUUGUCAUAGCCCCCCAAACAACACAGUAUAAUGACUAUUUGCUGGCUGGCAAGAUGGCUCAGUGGGUGAAGGCACUUGCUACCAAGCCCAAGGACCUAAGUUGAAUCCCCAAUGAUCCCACACAUGAGAAAGAGGGAACUGGCUCCCACAAAUUGUUCCCUGACCUUCACAUGUAUGCUGUGGCACAAAUGCACUCACAUACAUAUACACACACAGGAGCGCAGGCACAAAUGUGCAUACAUACAUACAUACACACACACACACACACACACACACACACACAAUGUAUCAGAAAACUACUUCAAUAACAUUUACAUUGUAUUAUCAAUGAUAGCAAUCUGGAGAUGAUUUAUGGCCCAAAAGAGGAUUCUGUGCAAAUUUCAUGGCCUAUUUAUUAGGAACUUGAACAUCUGAGGACUGUGUUAUCCUCAACCGUAUAAAGCUACUAAGACAAUUUGCCUCUAGCCAUCCCUCUAAAGGACUAUUCAGGCUUUAAAACAAGGGGCUGGGAGCUCUGGAGUUCUCAAAGCUGCUUUUCUGAAACAAACUUAAACACUUCUCCAAAGGCUGAAGACAGAAAUGUAUGAACAAAAGCCAGCGUCUUUGGCCUGGCCUUCACUGGGGCUAACUGAAAGACACAGGUCCCAACUAAGCAGCAGGUUAUAGUCCAGCUUUAAGAGAAAAUACGUCUUCAGCACCGUAUGUGCCCAUUGCAGAGGCUCCGUAAUAAGGUGAAGAGGUCUGCUGGAGAGCUGCCUCUGGGUUAAGAGCCUGUACUGUUCUUACAGUGGGGCCGAAUUAGAGUCAGCACGCACACCAGGUAGUUCAUAACCACCUAGAACUCCAGCUCCCGAGAGUCUGACAAUAAGCUGAGAAGAAUAUCUAACUAUUGGUAUACUCAAGAGAAGUGGUUGGAGGAGAAAAAUAACCAAGUAAAUGGCAGCAGUUUCUUUGGUGUUUUUCUAGGGGGAAAACAAACAAACAAACAAACAAACAAAAAACAUCAUCUGGCACUAAAUUUGAAAGGGGGAGCACCACAAUACUCUUAAAAGUACAAGAAAGAGGUCAAUACAAAAAUAAAAAUUAGUUUAUGGCUUCCAAAGGUUCCCUGAUGACCAGUGUUCCCAUGUUCAAGUAAAUAUUAAUUUCCUCUAUAA